rnacentral:rRNA from 1 species
CCCGCUCAGAAACUCAAAGGAAUUGGACGGGGCCCGCACAAGCGGUGGAGCAUGUGGUUUAAUUCGAUGAUACGCGAGGAACCUUACCUGGGCUCAAAUGUAUGUUGACGUAUUCUGAAAGGGAUACUUCUUCGGACAAUAUACAAGGUGCUGCAUGGUUGUCGUCAGCUCGUGCCGUGAGGUGUCGGGUUAAGUCCCAUAACGAGCGCAACCCCUAUCAUUAGUUGCCAUCAGGUCAAGCUGGGGACUCUAAUGAAACUGCCUACGCAAGUAGUGAGGAAGGUGGGGAUGACGUCAAAUCAGCACGGCCCUUACGUCCAGGGCUACACACGUGCUACAAUGGCCGGUACAAAGGGCAGCUACCUGGUGACAGGAUGCUAAUCUCAAAAGCCGGUCUCAGUUCGGAUCGGAGUCUGCAACCCGACUCCGUGAAGUUGGAUUCGCUAGUAAUCGCGCAUCAGCCAUGGCGCGGUGAAUACGUUCCCGGGCCUU